rnacentral:rRNA from 1 species
GAUGAACGCUGGCGGCGUGCCUAAUACAUGCCAGUCGAGCGAACAGACGAGGAGCUUGCUCCUCUGACGUUAGCGGCGGACGGGUGAGUAACACGUGGAUAACCUACCUAUAAGACUGGGAUAACUUCGGGAAACCGGAGCUAAUACCGGAUAAUAUAUUGAACCGCAUGGUUCAAUAGUGAAAGACGGUUUUGCUGUCACUUAUAGAUGGAUCCGCGCCGCAUUAGCUAGUUGGUAAGGUAACGGCUUACCAAGGCGACGAUGCGUAGCCGACCUGAGAGGGUGAUCGGCCACACUGGAACUGAGACACGGUCCAGACUCCUACGGGAGGCAGCAGUAGGGAAUCUUCCGCAAUGGGCGAAAGCCUGACGGAGCAACGCCGCGUGAGUGAUGAAGGUCUUCGGAUCGUAAAACUCUGUUAUUAGGGAAGAACAAAUGUGUAAGUAACUAUGCACGUCUUGACGGUACCUAAUCAGAAAGCCACGGCUAACUACGUGC